rnacentral:rRNA from 1 species
AUACGAAGGGGGCAAGCGUUGUUCGGAAUAACUGGGCGUAAAGCGCACGUAGGCGGAUUGAUCAGUUAGAGGUGAAAUCCCAGGGCUCAACCCUGGAACUGCCUUUAAUACUGUCAGUCUAGAGAUCGAGAGAGGUGAGUGGAAUUCCGAGUGUAGAGGUGAAAUUCGUAGAUAUUCGGAGGAACACCAGUGGCGAAGGCGGCUCACUGGCUCGAUACUGACGCUGAGGUGCGAAAGCGUGGGGAGCAAACAGGAUUAGAUACCCGAGUAGUCC